UACGAAGGGGGCUAGCGUUGCUCGGAAUCACUGGGCGUAAAGGGUGCGUAGGCGGGUUUUUAAGUCAGGGGUGAAAUCCUGGAGCUCAACUCCAGAACUGCCUUUGAUACUGAGGAUCUUGAGUACGGGAGAGGUGAGUGGAACUGCGAGUGUAGAGGUGGAAUUCGUAGAUAUUCGCAAGAACACCAGUGGCGAAGGCGGCUCACUGGCCCGUAACUGACGCUGAGGCACGAAAGCGUGGGGAGCAAACAGG
rnacentral:rRNA from 1 species